GGGGAGGCGACGGUGGCCGCGGGGUGGCCGAGGCUCACCCCCGCGCAACGGAACUGUUGGUGCGCUCCGACGGCGCGGAAGCCUCCGCCGAGCGCCGCCUUCUGACAGAAGAACUACAAACCUCAGCCAGUCAGGAGCAACCACCAUCAACAAACCUACUGCCCACUGUGGGAGAAGUAACAGUUCUAUUGAUGCAUCUCAGUGGGGAUGAAUUUCAGAAACAGCACUGCAGCCUCACUUUCUCUUUAGGGAGGCCUUUUUCUGGGGAUGCAGAAUGCCCAUGCCCUGGAUUCUUUGGUGGAGUUUUACUGUACGCAUCCUUCCCAUAUACAGCAGGAGCAGACCUAUGCAAGCUCACUCUCCGAUAAACAACAUUUAAACCAAAUGGUUUAGUUCGAUCUCUUGACUCAUUUGUCUUUCACUUAGAGCAGUGAAUCUAAUGCAACAAAUAUCAUAAUUUCCCUCCCCUUGGUUUUUUUUUUUUUUUUUUUUUU
ensembl:lncRNA